GGGGGCGAUACGGUCUCGACGUCGGUCUCAAAGCAAAAGGUGCAUGCCGAGAGAGUAGCGGCUCUCGCUAAACAAUCGCUGCAAACCCAUAGUUGCCAACGACGACAACUACGCACUAGCGGCCUAAACCGCCGCUAACGCUGAUGAUCCCUCGCCUGCGGGGUGAAAUCGGCGGCAAAGACAGCAGGAUCGCGCUUACGCCCACGCCUGGGGGCGGCAGCGUCAAACUCUUCCGGGCUCGCCAACAGCGCCCUGG
rnacentral:tmRNA from 1 species